rnacentral:tRNA from 1 species
CCAAACAUGUUGGUUAAACCCCCUCCUCUACUA